rnacentral:rRNA from 1 species
UACGGAGGGGGCAAGCGUUGUUCGGAAUUACUGGGCGUAAAGGGCGCGCAGGCGGCUGCUCAAGUCAGGCGUGAAAGGCCUGGGCUCAACCCGGGAAUUGCGCUUGAGACUGGGCUGGCUUGAGUGCGGGAGAGGGAUGCGGAAUUCCAGGUGUAGCGGUGAAAUGCGUAGAUAUCUGGAGGAAUACCGGUGGCGAAGGCGGCAUCCUGGACCGACAUUGACGCUGAGGAGCGAAAGCUAGGGGAGCAAACGGG